AGUCUUAACUGGGCGUUAAGUUGCAGGGUAUAGACCCGAAACCCGGUGAUCUAGCCAUGGGCAGGUUGAAGGUUGGGUAACACUAACUGGAGGACCGAACCGACUAAUGUUGAAAAAUUAGCGGAUGACUUGUGGCUGGGGGUGAAAGGCCAAUCAAACCGGGAGAUAGCUGGUUCUCCCCGAAAGCUAUUUAGGUAGCGCCUCGUGAACUCAUCUUCGGGGGUAGAGCACUGUUUCGGCUAGGGGGUCAUCCCGACUUACCAACCCGAUGCAAACUACGAAUACCGAAGAAUGUUAUCACGGGAGACACACGGCGGGUGCUAACGUCCGUCGUGAAGAGGGAAACAACCCAGACCGCCAGCUAAGGUCCCAAAGUCAUGGUUAAGUGGGAAACGAUGUGGGAAGGCACAGACAGCCAGGAUGUUGGCUUAGAAGCAGCCAUCAUUUAAAGAAAGCGUAAUAGCUCACUGGUCGAGUCGGCCUGCGCGGAAGAUGUAACGGGGCUAAACCAUGCACCGAAGCUGCGGCAGCGACACUAUGUGUUGUUGGGUAGGGGAGCG
rnacentral:rRNA from 1 species